rnacentral:lncRNA from 1 species
CUUGUGUGAAAUUUAAAGUUUGCCGCUAGGUGUCAGGCUUUUAAAUCUGUAAUAUUUCAGUCAUUUUAUGAUCAAUGUAUUGUGUUUCUAACGCCGAACGGGAAAAUGUUGGAGCCACAGUAAUAGACUAUUUCAAGGUCAAGAUGCCAUAAUGAAACACAAAGUGUGAGGGCUGCAAACACAAUGAAAAUUCCUACUAGUAAAUUUGCAAGGUUGUAUAAACACAAUGGUGAGAAACAAUAAAAGUAACUAGCGUGUCAGGGUCUAUGCUUGAAAUAAAGCCUGCUACUGAGGUCAGUAAAAAGGAUUGAUGCACAUGAUUCGUACGCAAAAUUCCCAUUGGUCAGAAAUAAAUAGCUUUGUUUUUAAGGUAAUGUCAAAUUGUUGUUUAUGUAAUGAUAUUCCGUACUUGUAAUUGUACUUUAACUACUUUUGGCCAUGUUAAUGACUGCCUUUGCUGCAGUCAAUAACAAUUAUUAUUAUUUAAUAUGUAAUUCCUGGCCAUUCGAUGAAAAUUGGAAUAUUUAGUUUUGAGAUAUUGGUGGAAAAGUUGGCCGUUAUUGUCAUAUUUUAAAUUAGCUUUGAUAAUCUAAUGUAUCAAUUAAUUCCAGCAGUUCCCACCCCUGGGCCUUUGCAGCUUUUCCUAAUCACGGGGGUGGGGCUAUUGCCAAUAUUUUUUAGCCCUGGGGUUAGGAUUUUGACAUUUUUCAUCAUGGGGGAUUGGGUAGACUUGCUGGAAAACUGAUAUUUAAUUUGAUUGCAACUGGCUUGUGGACAUAGCCAUUUUCUUCCCAAAAAUGGCUAAUACCUCGGGGGGAUGAGCACUGCCGGAAUUGACUGAUACAUAAUUAACAAUCGCCAUUUUGAUUGGUUGUUAUUUUUGUGCAUCCCAAUCACUGUCCACUUUUUAUUGACUUCAGUGACAAGCUUACCCUGCGAGCAAGUCCUCUUGUAUUUCUUCUCAGCACAAGAGAUACUCUGCAGAACUUGUGUAUAUUCUUUGUGGAGCCGACAAUCCAAAAACUUGGAUAAUCAUGAGCAAUUUUAGGUUUGAUACCAGUUUUAUAACCGGUUUUGAUCCGAACCGGAAACUACGUAUUAAAUCUUCUUCUGGGAAAUAGACAGUUGCUUAGCAACCUUCGCGCAUGCUCAAAUGAAUUUAUACACAAGUUCUGCAGAG